rnacentral:rRNA from 1 species
AACGUAGGUUCCGAGCGUUAUCCGGAUUUACUGGGCGUAAAGCGUGCGCAGGCGGUGAUGUAAGACAGGUGUGAAAUCCCCGGGCUUAACCUGGGAACUGCAUUGGUGACUGGCAGGCUUUGAGUGUGGCAGAGGGAGGUAGAAUUCCACGUGUAGCAGUGAAAUGCGUAGAGAUGUGGAGGAAUACCGAUGGCGAAGGCAGCCUCCUGGGCCAACACUGACGCUCAUGCACGAAAGCGUGGGGAGCAAACAGG